rnacentral:rRNA from 1 species
GUACACACCGCCCGUCACACCAUGGAGCCGGAAAUGCCCGAAGUCUGUGACUCAACCGAGAGGGAGAGCAGCCGAAGGUGGAGCUGGUAACUGGGGUGAAGUCGUAACAAGGUACC